GAUUAGCUAGUUGGUGGGGUAAAGGCCCACCAAGGCGACGAUCAGUAGCUGGUCUGAGAGGACGAUCAGCCACACUGGGGAGACACGGCCCAGACUCCUACGGGAGGCAGCAGUGGGGAAUUUUGGACAAUGGGGGCAACCCUGAUCCAGCAAUGCCGCGUGUGUGAAGAAGGCCUUCGGGUUGUAAAGCACUUUUGUCCGGAAAGAAAUCGCACUGGUUAAUACCUGGUGUGGAUGACGGUACCGGAAGAAUAAGGACCGGCUAACUUGCCAGCAGCCGCGGUAAUACGUAGGGUCCAAGCGUUAAUCGGAAUUACUGGGCGUAAAGCGUGCGCAGGCGGUUGUGCAAGACCGAUGUGAAAUCCCCGGGCUUAACCUGGGAAUUAUUGGUGACUGCACGGCUAGAGUGUGUCAGAGGGAGGUAGAAUUCCACGUGUAGCAGUGAAAUGCGUAGAGAUGUGGAGGAAUACCGAUGCGAAGGCAGCCUCCUGGGAUAACACUGACGCUCAUGCACGAAAGCGGGGAGCAAACAGGAUUAGAUACCCUGGUAGUCCACGCCCUAAACGAUGUCAACUAGUUUGGGGAUUCUUUUAGUAACGUAGCUAACGCGUGAAGUUGACCGCCUGGGGAGUACGGUCGCAAGAUUAACUCAAAGGAAUUGACGGGGACCCGCACAAGCGGUGGAUGAUGUGGAUUAAUUCGAUGCAACGCAAAACCUUACCUACCCUUGACAUGCCACUAACGAAGCAGAGAUGCAUUAGGUGCUCGAAAGAGAAAGUGGACACAGGUGCUGCA
rnacentral:rRNA from 1 species